UACGGGGGGGGCAAGCGUUGUUCGGAAUUACUGGGCGUAAAGGGCUCGUAGGCGGCCAACUAAGUCGGACGUGAAAUCCCCAGGCUCAACCUGGGAACUGCGUCCGAUACUGGAUGGCUUGAAUCCGGGAGAGGGAUGCAGAAUUCCAGGUGUAGCGGUGAAAUGCGUAGAUAUGACCCGGAACACCAAUUGCGAAGGCAGCAGGCUAAACAAAGAUUGACGCUGAGGCUCGAAAGCGUGGGGAUCAAACAGG
rnacentral:rRNA from 1 species